rnacentral:misc_RNA from 1 species
AAAAUAGCAAGAGUGAAAUACAAAUUCAUUUCGAGUAGGAAAUUUCUUAUUUCUGUUAGAUGCAACAGCUGAAUGCUAUCUUGUAGACUAUAUUUACCAUUUAUGAUCUUUACCAGAUUCUGCAUUAUUGGACCUUGCGCCUGGCCUUCAUCCCCUCAGAUUCAACAAUCUUCCAGCUCACAGCUUCAAUUUAGAUGCCUG